AAUAUUUGCCAAUACUUCAACUGAAGUGAUCUAUCAGCUGAAAUAGAGAAAAAAAAAUGUUAGCAUUACCGUUUGCCAGCUUAGUUACUUUAUGUUUGGCGGCCUAGACAAAUUACCAGCUAUUUGCUUGAUGUUUAAAUGAAGUCGAGCUUGCGGGAGUUUCAAAUUUAAAUGCAACACAAGGUGAUUAACCACAAAGUGAAAUUUUCCAAUUUAUACGGACGCCAAUGCCAAAGCUUUUUGUGUUGGGCCGCCUUAUAAAUAGCCAUUUUAUAAUGAGCUUAACAACCGUAUGCAAAAUAAACCGAUGGUAUCUGCAAAUGAAAUCGGAAAAACAAAAAUAGAGAUACAGAUACGAGGACCAUUGACGAAGCUACGAUGAAUCUUUGAAUGAUUGCGAAACGGCGAUAAUAGGAGUAAAAGGAAAAGGAUAUUCGGUCUGUCGACUUGUCAAUCUGCGAUCGCAUUGACACUUGAAGUUUAUUAUCCGCUGACAUUUCAAUUCUGAUUGAAAAUGGUAUUCGGACGAGUAUGCGGAUGGUUGGAAAACAAAAGCCCAACUUUCGAUGGGAAUCUGCUUCGCCCGAUGGCUGAUAUUGAUUGAUCGUUGAUUUUUUAUUGAGUGAUUGAUACAAAAGAGAAAUAUAAGUGAGCCAAGCCAAAACAAUCGUUUCAAUUACAAUGGCCCCAACUGUAGAAACUGGAUAUGUAAUUCGAAGAAGUUCAAAGCCCCAUCUAGAUGAAGCAGCGCCCUCAAAAAUAUUAUUAGGCAAUGAAAUAUGGAUUUUCCAAGGUGUUUGCACGCUCGGCUUCAAAUCGACUCUGACUUCAACUUUGUCUGGAGUUCAACUUUGGCUCUCCUUCAGCUAAACAAAAAACGUAAUGUUCGCCUGCCGUUUCUCGGCUUCUUAUCAAGAUGCUUUCAAUGUUUCGUUUAGGAUUUUCAUUUGUAGCAUUUAGCUGCUCUAUAAAGAAAAAAGCCCAGGCGACUCCUCUUCUGGCAAUGUCAGUGCUAUAUGCCUGUGCCCAUAAAAAUAUAUAUACUACUUGUGGCCCGCUUUAGC
ensembl:ncRNA lncRNA:CR44950 long non-coding RNA:CR44950